CACAAGAAGGAGGAAAGCAGGUGUUCCACUAGAUCUGCUUAGUCCCCUGGGAAUGGGGUCUAAGAGUGAGGAGAGGCUAUAGCAGGUGAUCUGCUGCAGAGCUAGGGAUGAGCCUAGGGAUUGGAGUUGGAGGAAUCAAGGAGAGGUAAAGAGCUGCUUGUUAGUCUACCUGUUUCACUGGCUAGAGUGACCUUCAAACUUCCAGGGCAUACCUGAUGGAAUUGUGCAUUGGGAUCAAGCAGUGAAUGGAUAAAAAUUUGGAAUCAGAUUAUGAAGCUCAACAAAUAUCUCCAGACAACCACAUAUAUACUAUAAAUUUACCCAAACAGACCAUAAAGCAUAUAAGUGAAACUUUUGAACUCAAGGGCUCCAGUUUUAGUAAUGGCCACAGC
rnacentral:lncRNA from 1 species